rnacentral:rRNA from 2 species
AUCCGGGUUGCGGACAGUGUCUGGUGGGUAGUUUGACUGGGGCGGUCUCCUCCUAAAGAGUAACGGAGGAGCACGAAGGUUGGCUAAUCCUGGUCGGACAUCAGGAGGUUAGUGCAAUGGCAUAAGCCAGCUUGACUGCGAGCGUGACGGCGCGAGCAGGUGCGAAAGCAGGUCAUAGUGAUCCGGUGGUUCUGAAUGGAAGGGCCAUCGCUCAACGGAUAAAAGGUACUCCGGGGAUAACAGGCUGAUACCGCCCAAGAGUUCAUAUCGACGGCGGUGUUUGGCACCUCGAUGUCGGCUCAUCACAUCCUGGGGCUGAAGUAGGUCCCAAGGGUAUGGCUGUUCGCCAUUUAAAGUGGUACGCGAGCUGGGUUUAGAACGUCGUGAGACAGUUCGGUCCCUAUCUGCCGUGGGCGCUGGAGAACUGAGGGGGG